CCUACGGGAGGCAGCAGUGAGGAAUAUUGGGCAAUGGACGAAAGUCUGACCCAGCCAUGCCGCGUGCAGGAUGACUGCCCUAUGGGUUGUAAACUGCUUUUAUAUGGGAAGAAACCCCUUUACGUGUAAAGGGCUGACGGUACCAUACGAAUAAGGAUCGGCUAACUCCGUGCCAGCAGCCGCGGUAAUACGGAGGAUCCAAGCGUUAUCCGAAUUUAUUGGGUUUAAAGGGUGCGCAGGCGGCUCUAUAAGUCAGUGGUGAAAUCUCUCGGCUCAACCGAGAAACUGCCAUUGAUACUGUAGGGCUAGAAUCUAGACGAAGUAGGCGGAAUGUAGCAUGUAGCGGUGAAAUGCUUAGAUAUGCUACAGAACACCGAUCGCGAAGGCAGCUUACUAGACUAGUAUUGACGCUAAGGCACGAAAGCGUGGGGAGCGAACAGGAUUAGAUACCCUGGUAGUCCACGCCGUAAACGAUGAUCACUCGAUGUUGGCGAUACACUGUCAGCGUCCAAGCGAAAGCGUUAAGUGAUCCACCUGGGGAGUACGAUCGCAAGGUUGAAACUCAAAGGAAUUGACGGGGGCCCGCACAAGCGGAGGAGCAUGUGGUUUAAUUCGAUGAUACGCGAGGAACCUUACCUAGACUUAAAUGUAGAUUGCAUAGAGUAGAAAUAUUCUUUUCCUUCGGAACUAUUUACAAGGUGCUGCAUGGUUGUCGUCAGCUCGUGCCGUGAGGUGUCGGGUUAAGUCCCAUAACGAGCGCAACCCCUAUCCUUAGUUGCCAUCAGAUAAUGCUGGGGACUCUAAGGAAACUGCCGGCGCAAGCCGCGAGGAAGGUGGGGAUGACGUCAAAUCAGCACGGCCCUUACGUCUAGGGCUACACACGUGCUACAAUGGUCGGUACAGUGGGCAGCUACCUGGUGACAGGAUGCUAAUCUCCAAAACCGAUCUCAGUUCGGAUCGAAGUCUGCAACUCGACUUCGUGAAGUUGGAUUCGCUAGUAAUCGUAUAUCAGCAAUGAUACGGUGAAUACGUUCCCGGGCCUUGUACACACCGCCCGUCAAGCCAUGGAAGCUGGGAGUACCUAAAGUCCGUAACCAUUAGGAGCGGCCUAGGGUAAAACUAGUGACUGGGGCUAAGUCGUAACAAGGUAACC
rnacentral:rRNA from 1 species